rnacentral:misc_RNA from 1 species
GCUCUAGGGCAUACUACUAACAUUUCUAGCAACCAUGCAGUUAACACAACGGGCAUAAACCUAGGAUGAACACAAUUAAAUUAUUCCUCACAUUUUCACCUAGCACAUAUUUUCUGCUUUUGAAUUGGUCCUUUUUGGUUUAGGAAUCCUAUGGUUAAGACAGCAGCAGAUAACUUAAAAGCUAAAUGUGGGACCAUGAACCAUGCAACUAUUUCAAGUGACCAGGAAUGAACUCAUAUCUUCAGAAAUUUGCUGGAUUUUAUUGAAAAUAACAUAUUUGAGUUCAGUUGUUUGUUGCUAAAAGGUUUGAGUAUUAUACAUUCAUCUUAGCCUCUAGCAUAUUUGAUCCUUACAACUUUGACAUUGAAUAGUCCAAGCCAUCCACAAGAAAAUCUGCAUCGUCUUUGGUGAAACACAUUGGUGGUUUUAUUCGAAAAACAUUUCCAUGUAGUCCUCCUUUCCCAACUAGAACCCCGAGCUCUCUGAGUUUCUCAAACAAAACUGCAGUUUCUGCCUUGGCAGGAGUCUUCUCCUUCCGGUCAGUCACGAGUUCUAUUCCGACCAUUAAACCCCUCCCUCUUACAUCUCCAAUGAUUUCAUGUCUUUGCUGAAGGGCUCUCAAGCGGCCAAUCAAGUGGGAGCCCACACUGGCACAGUGUUCUUGACGCUUCUCUUUCUCAAUAGUUCUCAGCACUGCAAGUCCACCAGCAGAACAAACAGGGUUCCCACCAAAAGUGUUAAAUUGAAUUUUCUGAGCCAUCACAUUUGCUAUUUCUGGUGUUGUCACCACUGCUCCUAAUGGUAAACCAUUGCCAAUACCCUUUGCCAUGGUAACUAUGUCAGGAAUGACUCCUUGUGUCUCAAAACCCCAGUAAUGGCUUCCUGUGCGGCCAAAUCCAGUUUGCACCUCAUCAGCAAUGCAGACACCUCCAGCUUUGCGUACAAUGUCAUAAACCAUUUUCAAGUAUCCAGGGGCCAGUUCAACAGCUCCUCCAACUCCCUGAAUUGUUUCAGAUAUAAAUCCAGCAACUUUUCCAGAAGUACCAUAUUCAAUGUGAUCUUGCACAUCUUUGGCAUAACCAGUGGGAUCAGAACCAAAGAUUCCUCGGUAUGGAUCAGGGUUGAUCACGUGAUGGAUUUCACCCUGCAGCAUGUGAUGGUUAGAAUAAUUAGCUUGUCUCGCUAACUGCCUAUAUUGUGUAAAAAGUUUAUAAUAGUAAAGUUGUUUAAAUAAUGAAGAUCCUACAAGUUUUGGCCUUGGUAAUUUUUGUAACAACAAAAUACUACAAAAUCUAGUCAAAUUCAAACUGUUAGGAUAUACAUGAGCCUGUAGUACCAGGUAUUUCCACAAGCCAGUAAACAUGGUAGUAGGUUGUUGGCACGAAAAACAUGAUAUGUAAAUGAAUUUUCUAAAGCUACAGCAUUUAGAUAAACCUGUGGUAUCGGGUACUUCCAUGUGUUCAAAGCAGUCAAUCCAAUUGUACUAGAACUUCCACCAUGAUAUGCAUUUCUCAAGGAAAUCAUAUCGAGAUUUCCACUGCAUAGUCUGGCCAUCAGCAUCGCUAAUUCAUUCGCUUCAGACCCAGAAUUUACAAAAUACACAACCUUAAGGUUUCCCGGCAUCUUGGCAGCCAAUGCCUCAGCAAAAUCAGCAAUGGCAUGGUGCAAGUAGAUGGUAGUAGCAUGCUGGAGAAGCUUGCUUUGUUCCAUAAUAGCAUUCAAAACUUCAGGAUGGCAAUGCCCACAUGAUACUGUUACUAUUCCAGCAAAGGCAUCCAGAUAUCGCCGCCCUCUUUCAUCGAACAAAUAUUGCAUCUUCCCUUCUACAAUAUUCAGAGGCUUUUGGUAGUAGUAGAAGAGAGAGGGACCCAGAAACUUCUUGCGUUUCUGGAGAAUCUCAUCUGCCAAGGGUCCAUUAUAAGGCUUCGGCUGGUAAUCAAACAAUGGGAGCUGAGGCGGAGGAGAAUCAGUGGCAGGGUCAGUAGAUGAAGAAAGCGUAGAGAAAGGAGAACAGAGAGAGAUCCUACAGUAAUGCAAAAACUUGGGUUUAGCUUCUUGCAGGGUUUUCUUCAAGAUUUGCCACUUUAACGCCAUCUCCAGGUUAGAGAAAGGAGAACAGAGAGAGAUCCUACAGUAAUGCAAAAACUUGGGUUUAGCUUCUUGCAGGGUUUUCUUCAAGAUUUGCCACU